AACGAACGCUGGCGGCAGGCUUAACACAUGCAAGUCGAGCGAAGACUUCGGUCUUAGCGGCGGACGGGUGAGUAACGCGUGGGAACGUGCCCUUCUCUACGGAACAGUCCUGGGAAACUGGAGCUAAUACCGUAUACGCCCUACGGGGGAAAGAUUUAUCGGGGAUGGAUGAGCCCGCGUUGGAUUAGCUAGUUGGUGGGGUAAUGGCCUACCAAGGCGACGAUCCAUAGCUGGUCUGAGAGGAUGAUCAGCCACAUUGGGACUGAGACACGGCCCAAACUCCUACGGGAGGCAGCAGUGGGGAAUAUUGGACAAUGGGCGAAAGCCUGAUCCAGCCAUGCCGCGUGAGUGAUGAAGGCCCUAGGGUUGUAAAGCUCUUUCAACGGUGAAGAUAAUGACGGUAACCGUAGAAGAAGCCCCGGCUAACUUCGUGCCAGCAGCCGCCGUAAAAC
rnacentral:rRNA from 1 species